AGUUAGCUGUCUUGUCUCCUUGAUGGUUUCUGUCUCAACAUAAGUUCUCAGCUCCUGCUCUAGAGCCAUGCUUGCCUGUUUCCAUGCUUCUCCAGACGAUGGUCAUGAACUCUGCUGCCCUCCGGAAUCAUGAGCCCCAGACUAAAUGCUUUCUUACAUAUGCUCACACGACCUGAAAUUCGCUGCUGUGAAAACAGAAGGAAACGGUCCUGUCAGGAGAACCAGCCCCUGCAGUUCCCUAAGGCUGGCACAAUGGAGGAAGGUUCCUCUCCGCCUGAGUUCCUACCUCGGUGAUGGACUCCGUGAUGGACUAUGAUCCUGACACCCACAACUAAGAUCGGGCAGGUGCUUGCAGACAGUGACAUCUUGUGGGAAAUCUCAGGAACUGCACCGUGGCAAAUCGCUGCUCCUUUUACUGUGGGGUCCUUGGAAUACCCAGUCAACAUCAAGGAAGCAUUCAUUCAUUCACUGCCUUCUGUGUACAAGGAACUGAUCCAAGUCCUGGAAUAAAGAAAGCAAGAGAGACUGGAUGGCUACACGGGGAGUGAAAAAAUUCCCAAGGAUUAUAACCUUGUCAUUACUGCUCAACUUUAAAUAUAUUUUGUGUGUGUG
ensembl:processed_transcript 2410003L11Rik RIKEN cDNA 2410003L11 gene